rnacentral:rRNA from 1 species
GACGAACGCUGGCGGCGUGCUUAACACAUGCAAGUCGAACGGAAAGGCCCUGCUUUUGCUGGGUGCUCGAGUGGCGAACGGGUGAGUAACACGUGAGUAACCUGCCCUUGACUUUGGGAUAACUUCAGGAAACUGGGGCUAAUACCGGAUAGGAGCUCCUGCUGCAUGGUGUGGGUUGGAAAGUUUCGGCGGUUGGGGAUGGUCUCGCGGCUUAUGAGCUUGUUGGUGAGGUAGUGGCUUACCAAGGCUUUGACGGGUAGCCGGCCUGAGAGGGUGACCGGCCACAUUGGGACUGAGAUACGGCCCAGACUCCUACGGGAGGCAGCAGUGGGGAAUAUUGCACAGUGGGCGGAAGCCUGAUGCAGCAACGCCGCGUGCGGGAUAACGGCCUUCGGGUUGUAAACCGCUUUCGCCUGUGACGAAGAGUGAGUGACGGUAAUGGGUAAAGAAGCACCGGCUAACUACGUG